rnacentral:lncRNA from 1 species
AGCACUAUUAACUCGUUGGACAAUGUUAUUCUGUCGUUGGGCGAGAAUUGAUGUUUGUUAGGUGAGUCUGUCAAUCUAAGAAUGUGAAAAUGGGUAAUUAAUCAUGUUUUCGCAAGGGUUUUGGAUAUGUUUUUUUUUCUCUCACACUUCAUUCUUCCCCUAAAGCGACUGAGAGAGACCCUUUGAGGAUAUUUGGGGUACUAAGAAGCUCUCUCUUCUCCUCCUUGG